UACAGAGGCCUCGAGCGUUAGGCGGAAUCACUGGGCUUAAAGCGUGUGUAGGCGGACUUCUAAGUGCCUUGUGAAAUCCCACGGCUCACCCGUGGAACUGCUGGGCACUACUGGGAGUCUUGAGCCACCUAGGGGCGAGCGGAACAAAUGGUGGAGCGGUGAAAUGCGUAGAUAUCAUUUGGAACGCCAACGGAGAAAUCAGCUCGCUGGGGGUGUGCUGACGCUGAGACACGAAAGCCAGGGGAGCGAACGGG
rnacentral:rRNA from 1 species